GGAAGUAGGUCAGUGGUAGAUCACUUGCCUGGCAUGCACAAGACCCUGGGUUUAAUCCCCAAUACUGCCA
rnacentral:tRNA from 1 species